CAGUAGCCACGGUAAUACGUAGGUGGCAAGCGUUGUCCGGAAUUAUUGGGCGUAAAGGGCUCGCAGGCGGUUUCUUAAGUCUGAUGUGAAAGCCCCCGGCUCAACCGGGGAGGGUCAUUGGAAACUGGGAAACUUGAGUGCAGAAGAGGAGAGUGGAAUUCCACGUGUAGCGGUGAAAUGCGUAGAGAUGUGGAGAAACACCAGUGGCGAAGGCGACUCUCUGGUCUGUAACUGACACUGAGGAGCGAAAGCGUGGGGAGCGAACAGGAUUAGAUACCCCCGUAGUCCCUGUCUCUUAUAC
rnacentral:rRNA from 1 species